CUACCAUUCUUGUCUUUCUAUCUCAUUCUCCUAGAACAUUUCUCCAGAAUUUUGAGAAGAAAAACUGUUUAUGAAGUUCCUUUCUUUGAAAUAAAGAAGCUAUAUUUAAUCUAUGUGGGCUUGCUCUUUAGUCAAAAUACACUUAAGUCUCCUACUCAGUCACCCCUCCACUGCUUUAAAGCAAUUAACUUUGUUAUGUCAAUUUUAAUGUAAAAUUAUUUGCUUUAGAUUAAUUUUAUUUCUUAGGAAUUAACUACAAAAGAAAUGUUCUCUAAGGUCAGCUGCAUGUCUUCUGUCAAACAAAUUUCAGUCAUGUGAAAAUUUCAAGGAAUUUUGACCCAGUAAAGAAGAUCCACCCUCACCAGUUUGCAUGGACGUUAUCCAAUUCACCGAGGGCCUGAAUACAAAAACAAAACGACCACUGAAAAACAACAACACAAACAGAGGAAGGCAUAUCUGGAAGUGUACAAUGCUGUGUAUCCAUCACUGCUAUCUAUACUCAAGACUUUUUCAUUGUUCC
rnacentral:lncRNA from 13 species